rnacentral:rRNA from 1 species
ACGAACGCUGGCGGCGUGCUUCACACAUGCAAGUCGAACGGAAAGGCCCUGCUUGCAGGGUACUCGAGUGGCGAACGGGUGAGUAACACGUGGGUGAUCUGCCCUGCACUUCGGGAUAAGCCUGGGAAACUGGGUCUAAUACCGGAUAGGAGCCAUUUUUAGUGUGAUGGUUGGAAAGUUUUUUCGGUGUAGGAUGAGCUCGCGGCCUAUCAGCUUGUUGGUGGGGUAAUGGCCUACCAAGGCGGCGACGGGUAGCCGGCCUGAGGGGGUGGACGGCCACAUUGGGACUGAGAUACGGCCCAGACUCCUACGGGAGGCAGCAGUGGGGAAUAUUGUACAAUGGGCGCAAGCCUGAUGCAGCGACGCCGCGUGGGGGAUGACGGCCUUCGGGUUGUAAACUCCUUUCGCUAGGGACGAAGCUUUUUGUGACGGUACCUAGAUAAGAAGCACCGGCUAACUACGUG